UCAGUCCGGCCUCGAUAAGAGAAGGGGAGCAGCAGCCACGCUAGCUGGCUCGCACCUCGUCGCCACCUCUCCUCACCUUCUCCCAGGUUCCUGAUCUGGAGCGGGAGGGAGGCCAGGCUACCCUUGACACGCAUAUGUGGAAUGUUCUCACUAUCAACUCUGGAAUAACUAGCAAGUAGUGGUGUCAAUGGCAUCCGUGGGAGACAUUUUGGUGGCACAUGGACAUCACGUUCUGGAAUAAAGCCAUGGAACAAUAAAUAACUUGGCAACGGAUACCCUGUGGUCUACAAUUAUACUGUAAUUAUGUGUGCACUUUGGAUCUAUUGGAUGUCUAAAUGUAUUGUUAAUCGACAACUACUAAUGCAAAGGUAUGUUCUAUUUGUAAUAUGAAAUGAUUCUUAUUUGUACCUCCAGCAGUCCUUCUCACAUUUUCUAUUUGUAAUAUGAAAUGAUUCUUAUUUGUACCUCCAGCACUCUUCUAUCGCUCCUUUUAGAACUAAUGACAUAAAAAAUGUGGUCUGGAGUCUGGUCGUGUUUGAACAAAGUUGGUCAGAAUGAUAUAGUUGUUUUCUUCAAGUUCAUUAUAUUAAUUUUUUCAGUAUAUAGAUUAUUUAUUUGUUCACACAAUACAUGGCAGGAGAUGUGUGUCGAGAGGCACAUGAAUAUGCACGUGGGCUCUUUUUCAGCAUGGUAGUCUAAAAAACUGUGGUAUUCUCAGAACACGUAGAAAAUGCUUUGCUAUCAAACCGGGCAAGUGCAGAUUUCCUUGAAUAUAGUUUAUUUUACAAUUGUGUUGCCAACGUGCUUCCAUUGUUUUAUCACCAUAAAAUAGUUCUAGGUGCUCAUAUAAAAUUUAGUGGCGUGUAUGGGUGAUUGUAGUGCAGUUUUGUUUAUCUGCUUGCAUUUUCAGCAUUAUAGUGUUGAUAUACUAUCUCAAUAAAACAGUGAAUACGUAUAAUAUGUACAAGCUACAUUCAAGUUAUGGCAGUGUGCCUGGGUAAGAUGAACUGGUAAUCUUCUGCUAGCUGAAAAAAACUUUUUUCGUCUUUACAUGUGUUUCUUGUUGAAACUCUUUUUCGUCUUUGCAUGUGUUUCUUGAUGAAGCUCGUGAUUUUCAAGUUAUGGCAGUACAUAUGUCUACCCACUUGCAUGACUACCGAUAUUGUCCUUAUUUUGCUCCUCCUUAGCCUUGUUCUGUUAGUGCAGUUCUUUUAAAUAGCAGGGACAGAGUCCCAGAAAACAUGCCUGAUUGCUUUUCUUAGUGGCGCACUUGCAAGUAUAUGUGGUAGUUUCUGUUAGUUUCUCAUGCUUUUCUACAAAGUGAUAGGUUAAUAAUGUCAUCAACAAUUUUUUCCUUAACUGAUCAAUAUCUUAGAAGUUGUCACUCAUUAGUUUUCUUUUCCUUAUCUGAUCUCUAGCGAGUAGAGUGAUUUAUUUUUGCAAUACCUAAUUCUGAUCAUAGGUAAUGACAGAUUUGUUUUCAUUAAAUGAGAUUCUUGUUUUGUGUUGAUUUUGCAAAAUUUCUGUAGCUACAUAUUUGCUCAAUCCAAUAGACAGAUUUUAAUCAACCUUUAUUAUAAUGUAUUUCCAAUUGUUCAUAACUACAUAAAUUUUUGUUGUGAUUUUGCAAGAUUUCGAAAUUUUUGUGUUUCAAAAUUGUUAUACUGAUUCCUCAAUGCUCUGUUCAUGGCUUUGUUCUUAUUUUAUCCAAAAGACAGAUUUUACUCAACCUUCAGUAUAAUAUUUGCUUUGUUCUUAUACUGAUUCCUCGAUGCUCUGUUCAUGGCUUUGUUCUUAUUUCUGAAGCUAUAUAUUUGCUCUAUCCAAAAGACAGAUUUUACUUAAUCUUUUGCCUUUUAGAAAAAGGGAGAUGCCAUUUAGAGCUUACUCUGUCCAACUUGAUCUUCAACUUGCCGCUACUGUUCCUAAGCAUUUUCCUGAAAACUGUUGUAUUUGCUUUAGAGAAUGAGCUCACCUUACUCAGAAGAUAUGCCAAGUAAAAAAUUAGAAAUUGAACAAUUAGUUCCGCUCUUAAAUUUUGCACAACAGUCCAAAUUAUCCAAUAAAUCAUGUGUUAGCAGGGUCAAAUUAUAGAAGUUGAAUCACUUGUUCUAAAUUACCCAAUCCAAAUUAUGGAUGUUAAUAAUAUGCUUUGUGUUAGACUGUUAGUCAAAUUGUCGAAAGCCGGAGCUGGGUUGAGGAGCCGGCCUCCGCCUUUGACCAUUACGUGAGAAGCAACACCGGCGUUGGCCGUUCCGUGUGCAGAGUGUGUGAGUUAGUGAUUUAAUUCCAUCCUUUCCAUCUCAUGAUGUGAUUUUUCCUUUAGGAUGAAUUAGUAACUUUGUGUGGAGGUGGCAGCACUACCUGCUGGUUGGUGUAAUGCCGUGCUUGACAGGGUGAUUUGCAAUUCCGAGUUUGUUUAAUGGCUUAAUGUCUAAGCACUCAUCCCCUUAUUCUGUUGUGUUGUUACCAACUUGGUUUGCAAGGAACAGACCUUCAUCUGUGUACAUCAAGAUUGCUAAUUGCCAGCUGAAGGGUGAUAGUAAAGCAUGAAGAUGCCUAAGCUUAUGAGGAAGCUGCAAACUGCGACCAAAAAUUCUCACUUCAGGGUACUCUCUCUCUCUCUCGAUCUCAA